AUUGAACGCUGGCGGCAGGCCUAACACAUGCACGUCGAGCGCGCGGCGGACGGGUGAGUCAUGUAUGUGGAACUGCCCGAUAGAGGGGGAUAACUACUGGAAAAGGUGGCUAAUACCGCAUACCAUCUGAUGUGCCCACAUGGGAUUAGCUAGUAGGUAGGGUAACGGCUCACCGAGGCGACGAUCCCUAGCUGGUCUGAGAGGAUGACCAGCAACACUGGAACUGAGACACGGUCCAGACUCCUACGGGAGGCAGCAGGGGGGAAUAUUGCACAAUGGGCGCAAGCCUGAUGCAGCCAUGCCGCGUGUAUGAAGAAGGCCGUCGGGUUGUAAAGUACUUUCAGCGGGGAGGCGUUACCCGCAGAAGAAGCACCGGCUAACUCCGUGCCAGCAGCCGCGGUAAUUC
rnacentral:rRNA from 1 species